rnacentral:lncRNA from 1 species
GGUUGAGACGGCUGGGAGAGAAGAAGGGCACAUGCUUCGUCCUUUUAGUUCACAGGUCUCUGGAUCAACAGAUGCUGUACCCAAGGAGCUGGACCUGUGGAAUUAUCCCCCAGGAAUUUUGACUGCACCUGGAUUGGAUUUAGUGUAAGAAGAGUAACUGUCAUGAGCCUCAAAUGAGUUCUGCAGUAGAGAAACCAUAUAAUGAAGUAAAGAAAAAAACAAACAACAACAAAAAAAAAACCUUUAUACUGAUCACUACAUGGGCAAAAAAGAAGACAGUUGUAGAGGUAUGAUGGAAUAAAAAAAUUGAUCAGUCAGAUGGCAAAACUGUCAUCUUCAUCAAAAUGCCAGGAUUUCCAGCUGAUGCCUAAGUGGAUUUUUCUGGAAGAAAGAAUGUAUCUUUAGAAAGCAGAGUGAGGAUCCUUCCUAAUGUAAUUUGAAACAUAGUUUCGUAUGUCUAACUUCUGCUUUGCCUCAUGCUCACUGAAAUCUACAGCUAGCCUCAUUUUCCACUUGUUUUUGACUCUCUCAGGCAUCUUGAGGAUUGAGAUCAUGUCGUAGUUAUCUUUUAGACUUAGUAAAUGAGUAAUAAAUGUUUCUUUUGAGUGACUCAAAA